GACGAACGCUGGCGGCGUGCUUAACACAUGCAAGUCGAACGGAAAGGCCCUGCUUUUGUGGGGUUCUCGAGUGGCGCACGCGUGAGUAACACGUGAGUAACCUCCCCCUGUCUUUGUGAUAACUUCAGGAAACUCGGGCUCAUACCCCAUAGGAUCUCCUGCUGCAUGGUGUGGGUUGGAAAGUUUCGGCGGUUGGGGAUGGACUCGCGGCUUAUCAGCUUGUUUGUGUGGUAGUGGCUUACCAAGGCUUUGACGGGUAGCCUGCCUGAGAGCGUGACCGGCCUCAUGGGGACUGAGAUACGGCGCAGAAUGCUACGGGCGGCAAUGGGCGGAAAUAUGACGGAAUAGCGCGAAGUGAGAGGUAGCGACGCCCGGAGCGGGAUACUCGGCUACGGGUGGUGAACAGAUUUGGAAUGUGACGAGGAGUGAGUGACGGUAAUGAGUAAAAAAGCACCGGCUAACUACGUG
rnacentral:rRNA from 1 species